AGAGGGAGAGGUGGAGAGAAUGCGCCUGCGCACGGGUCUUUCCCACAGCAGGUUCAAGUCAGGAAAAGGCCUAGGGACUUUCCUAUUUUUUGCCCCUUAAAGUCAGAGACCCUUCCAAAACUGAGCGCUAUAUUGCCUGGGGAAGCCGCGCCUAUGUGUCCGAGGCAGCUCUGGGGUUCUUGCCCACCCUUCCGGGAAGCCGAUUGCUAGUGGGUGUAUGGAGGCUUUCCAAAGACUCCCGGAGGUUUGCGUGGGUUUCACUUCGGGCCAUAGCUUCAGAAAGAGCGAGCCUGCCUCUCUGUAUUUUUAGCAGGAGGAGCAGAAUUUGAAACAGCAGCAUACCGGUCCUGCGCCUGGUGAAGGAUGACUCGCCAGAAAGCAAAGGCACAGCCCUACCUCCGCGAGCUUGGCGCGUGGCCCAGGAGGCUCCGCGAGCCCUCGUACGUAAGGAUCGCGGCGCCCACGCUUGAGAGCAGAGCUCAGUGCAAACUUCCAACGGUUCUUCCAGUUUCCAGGGAAACGAGAUCUGGAGCUGCUGUGCGUUGCAGAGCUGCCUCUCUGCAACCCACAUGGGACCCCUGUGGCUGGCUGGUCUUGGGGAAGAAGGAGUUGAAGCCACCACAUCCAUGAAGGUUUUGUCUGGAGCCUGUCUGAUUCGAUGCAUUCAGUACUGAAAGCUUUCAGGAACAUUCUUUUACUCACUUCUCAGGACAACCGGUGAGGGCAGGAACACAGAGAUUUCAGGCGAGCAUCCUGGCGUGUGCUGAGAAGGAGCUCUGCUGCCUGGGAUCUAGGGGAGCGAAAGGAGCUUUCUCUCUGCUUGCAGUGUAAAGUCCCAGGAUCCUUUCACCGAGGAAGAGCUCAUCAUGUUCUGUUGUGAGCCAUCCUCAACCUCCACUUGCAGAGUCUGCUUAACCUUCCACGCAUGCCAAGGAGGGGACCCAGGGUAGCUGCGGUCUAGUCACGUGACCUGGAGGGUCAGAGGCAGGAAGGAGAGCAACUCCAGAAAGAACCACACCGGUGAGGGAUAACUUUGCUACUUUUCCAGGAAAAUGACAUCAUUAACUACUGAGCAAGUUCCUACAGAGGUCUGACGGCCUUCUGGGGGCAGGUAUCACUCUC